AUUGAACGCUGGCGGCAGGCCUAACACAUGCAAGUCGAGCGGAGCUGCGGACGGGUGAGUAAUGCCUGGGAAUCUUCCUGGUAGUGGGGGAUAACGUCCGGAAACGGGCGCUAAUACCGCAUACUAUCAGAUGAGCCUAGGUCGGCUUAGCUAGUUGGUGGGGUAAAGGCCUACCAAGGCGACGAUCCGUAACUGGUCUGAUAGGAUGAUCAGUCACCCGGGAACUGAGACACGGUCCAGACUCCUACGGGAGGCAGCAGUGGGGAAUAUUGGACAAUGGGCGAAAGCCUGAUCCAGCCAUGCGGCGUGUGUGAAGAAGGUCUUCGGAUUGUAAAGCACUUUAAGUUGGGAGGCGUUACCAACAGAAUAAGCACCGGCUAACUUCGUGCCAGCAGCCGCGGUAAUUC
rnacentral:rRNA from 1 species